ACGGCGAGUGAAGCGGCAAAAGCUCAAAUUUGAAAUCUGGUACCUUUGGUGCCCGAGUUGUAAUUUGGAGAGGGCAACUUUGGGACCGUUCCUUGUCUAUGUUCCUUGGAACAGGACGUCAUAGAGGGUGAGAAUCCCGUGUGGCGAGGAGUGCGGUUCUAUGUAAAGUGCCUUCGAAGAGUCGAGUUGUUUGGGAAUGCAGCUCUAAGUGGGUGGUAAAUUCCAUCUAAAGCUAAAUAUUGGCGAGAGACCGAUAGCGAACAAGUACAGUGAUGGAAAGAUGAAAAGAACUUUGAAAAGAGAGUGAAAAAGUACGUGAAAUUGUUGAAAGGGAAGGGCAUUUGAUCAGACAUGGUGUUUUGCGCCCUCUGCUCCUUGUGGGUGGGGGAAUCUCGCAGUUCACUGGGCCAGCAUCAGUUUUGGUGGCAGGAUAAAUCCGUAGGAAUGUAACUUGCUUCGGGAAGUAUUAUAGCCUAUGGGAAUACUGCCAGCUGGGACUGAGGACUGCGACGUAAGUCAAGGAUGCUGGCAUAAUGGUUAUAUGCCGCCCGUCUUGAA
rnacentral:rRNA from 1 species